AAUUUAUUGGGCCGUGGGUUGGUAAAUUCCGAGCCAAUACUGCCGCAGGUUGGUAAACUCCGAGCCAACGCGCUGGUAUUAAACUCAGCGACAUGCAUGGGAAGCGGGCAUAGCACAACCACGUCACUUUAUUAUAUCACAUGUUCCCAUAUAAUAUUUAGAGAGCACUUAUACAGAGUAUCCAUAAACCAUUAGUUGUUUCGGUACUGUCUAUUUGAGUCUUCUGAAAUUAUUACUUAAUGUGAGCCUUUGGUCGCUCCGAUCAUUGUUCCUUACGUCUUCCAGUUAUGUUAUGAACUAUAUUGAUGAUAUUUGAUAAAUAUCCUUUAAAUUACA